rnacentral:rRNA from 1 species
AUUGAACGCUGGCGGCAGGCCUAACACAUGCAAGUCGAGCGGUAGCGGGAAGGUAGCUUGCUACUUUUGCCGGCGAGCGGCGGACGGGUGAGUAAUGCCUGGGAAAUUGCCCAGUCGAGGGGGAUAACAGUUGGAAACGACUGCUAAUACCGCAUACGCCCUACGGGGGAAAGCAGGGGACCUUCGGGCCUUGCGCGAUUGGAUAUGCCCAGGUGGGAUUAGCUAGUUGGUGAGGUAAUGGCUCACCAAGGCGACGAUCCCUAGCUGGUCUGAGAGGAUGAUCAGCCACACUGGAACUGAGACACGGUCCAGACUCCUACGGGAGGCAGCAGUGGGGAAUAUUGCACAAUGGGGGAAACCCUGAUGCAGCCAUGCCGCGUGUGUGAAGAAGGCCUUCGGGUUGUAAAGCACUUUCAGCGAGGAGGAAAGGUUGAUGCCUAAUACGUAUCAACUGUGACGUUACUCGCAGAAGAAGCACCGGCUAACUCCGUGCCAGCCGCCGCCGUAAUAC